rnacentral:rRNA from 1 species
UGGGGAAUCUUCCGCAAUGGGCGAAAGCCUGACGGGGCAACGCCGCGUGAGUGAAGACGGCCUUCGGGUUGUAAAGCUCUGUUAUACGGGACGAAUAAUCUUGUGGUUAAUACCCAUGAGAAGUGACGGUACCGUAAGAGAAAGCCACGGCUAACUACGUGCCAGCAGCCGCGGUAAUACGUAGGUGGCAAGCGUUGUCCGGAAUUAUUGGGCGUAAAGGGCGCGCAGGCGGCUUCUUAAGUCUGUCUUAAAAGUGCGGGGCUUAACCCCGUGAUGGGAUGGAAACUGGGAAGCUCAGAGUAUCGGAGAGGAAAGCGGAAUUCCUAGUGUAGCGGUGAAAUGCGUAGAUAUUAGGAGGAACACCAGUGGCGAAAGCAGCUUUCUGGACGAAAACUGACGCUGAGGCGCGAAAGCCAGGGGAGCGAACGGGAUUAGAUACCCCGGUAGUCCUGGCCGUAAACGAUGGGUACUAGGUGUAGGAGGUAUCGACCCCUUCUGUGCCGGAGUUAACGCAAUAAGUACCCCGCCUGGGGAGUACGGCCGCAAGGUUG